rnacentral:rRNA from 1 species
GACGAACGCUGGCGGCGUGCUUAACACAUGCAAGUCGAGCGGUAAGGCCUUUCGGGGUACACGAGCGGCGAACGGGUGAGUAACACGUGGGUGAUCUGCCCUGCACUUCGGGAUAAGCCUGGGAAACUGGGUCUAAUACCGGAUAUGACCUCCUAUCGCAUGGUGGGUGGUGGAAAGAUUUAUCGGUGCAGGAUGGGCCCGCGGCCUAUCAGCUUGUUGGUGGGGUAAUGGCCUACCAAGGCGACGACGGGUAGCCGACCUGAGAGGGUGACCGGCCACACUGGGACUGAGACACGGCCCAGACGCCUACGGGAGGCAGCAGUGGGGAAUAUUGCACAAUGGGCGAAAGCCUGAUGCAGCGACGCCGCGUGAGGGAUGACGGCCUUCGGGUUGUAAACCUCUUUCAGCAGGGACGAAGCGCAAGUGACGGUACCUGCAGAAGAAGCACCGGCUAACUACGU